CCUACGGGGGGCAGCAGUAGGGAAUCUUCCGCAAUGGGCGAAAGCCUGACGGAGCAACGCCGCGUGAGUGAAGAAGAUCUUCGGAUCGUAAAGCUCUGUUGCCGGGGACGAAUGUAGGCAGUGCGAACAGCAUUGUGUAAUGACGGUACCCGGCGAGGAAGCCACGGCUAACUACGUGCCAGCAGCCGCGGUAAUACGUAGGUGGCGAGCGUUGUCCGGAAUUAUUGGGCGUAAAGGGAGCGCAGGCGGGCGAGUAAGUCUUUCUUAAAAGUGCGGGGCUCAACCCCGUGAGGGGAGAGAAACUACUCAUCUUGAGUGCAGGAGAGGAAAGCGGAAUUCCUAGUGUAGCGGUGAAAUGCGUAGAUAUUAGGAAGAACACCAGUGGCGAAGGCGGCUUUCUGGACUGUAACUGACGCUGAGGCUCGAAAGCCAGGGGAGCGAACGGGAUUAGAUACCCCAGUAGUC
rnacentral:rRNA from 1 species